rnacentral:rRNA from 1 species
GAUGAACGCUAGCGGCAGGCCUAACACAUGCAAGUCGAGGGGCAGCACAGAAACAGCAAUGUUUUGGUGGCGACCGGCGGACGGGUGCGUAACGCGUAUGCAACCUACCUUUAACAGGGGGAUAACGGAGAGAAAUUUCCACUAAUACCCCAUAACAUCGAUCAAGGCAUCUUGAUUGGUUGAAAACUCCGGUGGUUAAAGAUGGGCAUGCGUUGUAUUAGGUAGUUGGUGAGGUAAUGGCUCACCAAGCCGACGAUACAUAGGGGGACUGAGAGGGUAGCACCCCACACGGGUGCUGGGACGCGGACCAGACUCCUACGGGAGGCAGCAGUGAGGAAUAUUAGUCAAUGGGGGCAACCCUGAACCAGCCAUGCCGCGUGCAGGAAGACGGCUCUAUGAGUUGUAAACUGCUUUUAAACAGGGAUAAAGCACAGUAUGUAUACUGUGUUGAAGGUACUGUAAGAAUAAGGAUCGGCUAACUCCGUGCCAGCCGCCGCAGUAA